CGUGAAACUGCGAAUGGCUCAUUAAAUCAGUUAUCGUUUAUUUGAUAGUACCUUACUACUUGGAUAACCGUGGUAAUUCUAGAGCUAAUACAUGCUGAAAACCCCAACUUCGGAAGGGGUGUAUUUAUUAGAUAAAAAACCAAUGCCCUUCGGGGCUUCUUGGUGAUUCAUAAUAACUUCUCAGAUCGCAUGGCCUUGCGCCGGCGACGGUUCAUUCAAAUUUCUGCCCUAUCAACUUUCGAUGGUAAGGUAUUGGCUUACCAUGGUUUCAACGGGUAACGGGGAAUUAGGGUUCGAUUCCGGAGAGGGAGCCUGAGAAACGGCUACCACAUCCAAGGAAGGCAGCAGGCGCGCAAAUUACCCAAUCCCGACACGGGGAGGUAGUGACAAUAAAUACUGAUACAGGGCUCUUUUGGGUCUUGUAAUUGGAAUGAGUACAAUUUAAACCUCUUAACGAGGAACAAUUGGAGGGCAAGUCUGGUGCCAGCAGCCGCGGUAAUUCCAGCUCCAAUAGCGUAUAUUAAAGUUGUUGCAGUUAAAAAGCUCGUAGUUGAACCUUUGGCCUGGCUGGCAGGUCCGCCUCACCGCGUGUACUUGUCCGGCCGGGCCUUCUUUUCUGGAGAACCGCAUGCCCUUCACUGGGUGUGUUGGGGACCAGGACUUUUACUUUGAAAAAAUUAGAGUGUUCAAAGCAGGCCUUUGCUCGAAUACGUUAGCAUGGAAUAAUAGAAUAGGACGUGCGGUCCUAUUUUGUUGGUUUCUAGGACCGCCGUAAUGAUUAAUAGGGACAGUCGGGGGCAUCAGUAUUCAAUUGUCAGAGGUGAAAUUCUUGGAUUUAUUGAAGACUAACUACUGCGAAAGCAUUUGCCAAGGAUGUUUUCAUUAAUCAGUGAACGAAAGUUAGGGGAUCGAAGACGAUCAGAUACCGUCGUAGUCUUAACCAUAAACUAUGCCGACUAGGGAUCGGGCGGUGUUUCUAUUUUGACUCGCUCGGCACCUUACGAGAAAUCAAAGUGU
rnacentral:rRNA from 1 species